rnacentral:tRNA from 1 species
UGGGUGCAGCUCAGUGGUAGAGCACUUGCCUAGCAUGCACGAGGCCCUGGGUUUGAUCUCCAGCACCACAA